GAUUGGCGUCCCCAGUUCAAAACACUCAAAAUUUCCGCCAGAAAAAGUCGUAUAAAAUGGUUUUUUUAAUCUGGCGAAUUUCGCGCCCAAUUUUUUACUGAAGCUCCCCGGGGCCCCCCUAAGCAUUUCCCGCGUAGGCCCAAGUCGCAAAAAUGAGUUUUUCCCGGAAAAAUAAUUAAUUUAAAAUUUUUCCGCACAACUACAAACAAACAUUUCACGCACACACUCAAGAAAACUCAUCUACACAAAAUGUCAGAGUGAGAGGAAAGUAUUUUUCUCAUGCCCGAUGGAACCAUAAUGUAAUGAUUUUACUGACUGUUGAAAUUAUUACUAUUCGUCGUACAAAAAUAGUGAUUCUUCUGAUUCCAAAAAUUUCCUAGCCCAGCCGGACCAAAAUAGAAGCAAUACGAAUCAGCAGCUUGGUAUUUCAUAACCGGCAACUGAAGUCCAGUCGGGGGAUUCUUCCUCUUCUUCAUUUUCAAGUUUAUCAAGUUGUCAAACCAGGGGCCUGACAAAGUCCCUUCUUAGCCGAACUCAGCAAAUUAAUGGCGGACGAUUUGCAGGAAAAUUCUGCUAUCAUUCAAUAGCGCCAUCUAUUGGUUAGCACCGCCGAAAUUUUAACAUAACCUCAAAAUUUGUUUACAUUUCCACUAAAACGUCCGAAAUCGAGAAUAUUUAAUUAAUUUAUUUAGUUUUAAAUUAUUUUAUCGUCCCCAAGUGAUAAAGACCGGUAAUUUGGGUAAGAGAAAGUGAUUUUAGAAAAAAAUUGUGUAGUUUUACAAAGAAAGUGCAAAAAAAUACUUCAGAAAAAUCAUACAAGGCAGUUGAUCACCACCAGAAAGCCCGGAAAUUUCACAUAGGCAGGACUCGAACGGCAGGAAAAUAUAGAGAUAUUCUGCAAAAUAAAUGUGAGAUCAACGCAAUGGAGAAUUAUCCACAAUACACGGCAUCCUUGUCCGGGAAUACAGUAAUCACUGUAUGGAACGACGAAUCCAAAAGGAAAUAAAGUGUAUCACUACGAUUUCAUGCAUUUCAUGGGACGGGUAAGACUACGAGGGUGUCUUCCUCAAUUUUCAAUCUUUUAGCUCAAAAAAUGCAUGUUAAAUUCUCAUUAAAUAAAAUGUUACAGCAACAAUAAGAAGAGGGCCCAUUCACGCUGCUCCAGCCGCUCCAGCCUAUAAAUUUCAGGGUUUUCUCAUGGGAAUCAAGAACGAUCUCCCCGUCAAGUGUUUUGUAAGAUGAACUUGGAGAAAGAAUUAGUGAUACACCUUGAUAAGACUGUAAAAAUUACCAAAAUUGUUCGUGCUUGUGAUCAGUCAGUGAUUCAUUUACUUGGAUGGAUUAAGAAGAAAGCCAUUGAGAAAGUUCCAAGGAUGAACAUUUUUCCACGAGUUUCUUCCUUUCCCGCAAACGUAUUUUAACAAGGCAGUUGCAUAAACAACCCCACUGCUGGUACAUUUUCCGACGAAGAUCUUGGAGUGGAAAAAUUCCUGUUUUCUACAGCAAAUCCUCUAAGAAAGUCACAACAUCGAGAUUCAGCAUUAGGAGAGUUGAAGAGGAAAUUCUCAAUACGGGAAAUGCAGAUUACUGGUUGAAAAAACCAGAGAAGGAUUUAUUCCCGGAAUGUGAAAAAUUCGAAGAGAUGUUAGAAAAGGAGGAUUUCUACUCAUAAUAAUACAACAAGGGAAUCCUUCAUUUGAUGAGAUUCUUCAUGCCCUUCACGAUGUUCCGGCCUAUCAUUUAUGUGACACAGAACAUCUAGCUACAAAACAUACAGCUCACUCAUUGGAAUAGAGUUAGAAGUUUAAAUGUGAUAUUUGAGGUAUCACCCCAAAGUUGAUCUAAAUCUGCACUCUGGCAAUUCUCAUCGAUGAAGCGGUACAUCCUUCACUGUAGCUCCUGCGGGGAAAUGCAG